AGCUUUUGAGAUUGAUCUAUAUCACUCCUUUCAUCGAUUUGAAAGUUUGUUGAGGUGGAGGUUGAAGCCUGAUUGUUCCCUAUUGGUGAUGCUGCAUCUUUAAGGGAGAUUCUUUCUAAAUUGCAAGGCUUCAGGAAUAUGUCUGGCCUCCAAUUAGCCCCUCCAAAGCUAAAGUUUUUACUCCCGCAUAUUCUGAUGAACAGGUGAAAUAUUUGCUUUGAAUUUGUUUUAGCAGAGGGCAUCUUGUAGUUAGACACCAUGCAGUACCACUCGUAUCCGAGAGGCUUGCAUAUAAAGAUUCUAAGCCUUCGGUAAUAAAACUACAGCUAGAUUCACAUGUUGGACAGUGAAAAAGUUGACAUAUGCUGGCAGGCUUCAACUCAUCAAAGCUGUUGUCUGUAUAGUCUUGUCAACUUCUUGGUCCCGGAUUUUUCUUCUUCCAAAGAAGGUCAUUGAAGCAGUUGAUCAGAAAUGUAUGUCUUUUCUUUGGAAAGUGCAACUGGGUGGUGCUAAAGGCUUCGGAGUGAAAUGGGAGCAAGUUUGUCAUCCUAAACAUGGAGAAGGAAUUUUGUCUGAGUUUCGUUGCUCAAUCUCCUGCUUUGACUGAGGAGCGGUUGCCUAGAUAUUGUGGCUUGUAGUGGUAUUUGGUCAACCCACUUUCUUGCUGAUGAGAUACAGCUUUAAAUUGCCCAUAAAAAUACUAUGGUUUAGUUCAAAGAUUGCCAAUAGAUCGAAAAGCAUAUUUGCACUGCA